CCUUUCCCGUCUACCCUCCUUCCUCCUCCCUCUCCUCCCCACCCUCGCCCUCGCCCCUCCCCCGCCGCGCCAGGGCCGCCGGAGGCUGAGUCAUCGCUGCGGCGUACGGCGGCAGCGGGCGAGCAGGUAUUUUUUGAUUGACUAUUCGGUGCUAGGCACUGUGUUGGGUGCUGAGUGCUGGGCAGAGUGGGGAAGCAGACAUAGCCCCUGCCCACGAAGAGAUCGCUGUGCAUAGCAAAUACACCAUCUGACCGGCUGUGUCUCCAGCCUGCAGCCUGUGAGCAGCUACAAGUCGACAGCUUUGAUACCAGCUUGAAAGAACAACUUCGCUCCUGCUUCUACAGGAGAACCAAAUACAUUUAACUGGUUUCAUUCA